GGGAAAAACGCCUUGGCGGGCGUGCCUAAUACAUGCAAGUCGAGCGGACAGAUGGGAGCUUGCUCCCUGAUGUUAUCGGCGGACGGGUGAGUAACACGUGGGUAACCUGCCUGUAAGACUGGGAUAACUCCGGGAAACCGGGGCUAAUACCGGAUGGUUGUUUGAACCGCAUGGUUCAAACAUAAAAGGUGGCUUCGGCUACCACUUACAGAUGGACCCGCGGCGCAUUAGCUAGUUGGUGAGGUAACGGCUCACCAAGGCAACGAUGCGUACCCGACCUGAGAGGGUGAUCGGCCACACUGGGACUGAGACACGGCCCAGACUCCUACGGGAGGCAGCAGUAGGGAAUCUUCCGCAAUGGACGAAAGUCUGACGGAACAACGCCGCGUGAGUGAUGAAGGUUUUCGGAUCGUAAAGCUCUGUUGUUAGGGAAGAACAAAUACCGUUCGAAUAGGGCGGGACCUUGACGGUACCUAACCAGAAAGCCACGGCUAACUACGUGCCAGCCCCCCGGUAAACUUAGGUGGCAA
rnacentral:rRNA from 1 species